UGUGGUGGGGCAUCCACGCCCUUGCCAGGCCACUCUGUGACUUCAGGAUUGCCAUUGUUACAGGUGCAGUGAGUGGGGAUGAUUAGGCACUCCCUAACUGCACCUGGAACUCCUGCUACCUGGAUACCAGAACUGUGCAGUCUCGAAGAACCAAAUUCUGAGGAGAGUCAUUGUUCUCACCUAAUCCAAACUUCCACAGAAACCAGUGGGCAUCUGUUUGCGGAAAUGGGAAGAGGUCACAAUCCUCUGAAUGCAGAGCACUGGAUUUCAAAGCUUUCACACAAACUCUAG
rnacentral:lncRNA from 1 species